rnacentral:lncRNA from 1 species
AAUUGAACCAACAGUUAGCAUAGAUAACCUGUAUGAUGAAGUAAGAAAAAACUGGUAGCUUUCUGAGAACCAGCAGUUGGAGUGCAAAUCAAGGUUGUCUCAGCUCUAUCUGCAGGUUCAGUGGCAGCUGAAGCAAAGAGGAAUGCAUCGAACGAGAUCAUAUUGAACAAGUAAACAAACAUAAUUAUCAAAUAUGUUAUUUCUUUCCUCUGAUGUAUUGCAUCUGAAGAAACUAGCAUAAAAUUAUCUCCUCAUCA